GUAGGUGGCAAGCGUUGUCCGGAAUUAUUGGGCGUAAAGCGCGCGCAGGCGGUCCUUUAAGUCUGAUGUGAAAGCCCACGGCUCAACCGCGGAGGGUCAUUGGAAACUGGGGGACUUGAGUACAGAAGAGGAAAGCGGAAUUCCAAGUGUAGCGGUGAAAUGCGUAGAGAUUUGGAGGAACACCAGUGGCGAAGGCGGCUUUCUGGUCUGUAACUGACGCUGAGGCGCGAAAGCGUGGGGAGCAAACAGGGAUUAGAUACCCUGGUAGUCCACGCCGUAAACGAUGAGUGCUAAGUGUUAGGGGGUUUCCCGCCCCUUAGUGCUGCAGCUAACGCAUUAAGCACUCCGCCUGGGGAGUACGGCCGCAAGGCUG
rnacentral:rRNA from 1 species